rnacentral:RNase_P_RNA from 1 species
GGCGGCGAGCGGACGAUCGCGAAGCAUCUUCGGGUGUUUCGAGGAAAGUCCGAGCACGGCAGGAUGACGGUGGUGGGUAACACCCACCGGCUCGUGGACUGCGAGUCAGGGAAAGUGCCACAGAAAACAGACCGCCUAUGUGGCUUCGGCCGCAGGUAAGGGUGAAAUGGUGCGGUAAGAGCGCACCGCCCGUUCCGGUGACGGACGGGGCAGGGCAAACCCCACCGCGUGCAAGCGCAAGCAGCCUCAUGCGGCCUUCUGGUCGUGCUCGUGAUCCGCGGGUGAGGCGGGUGGCGUGCAGGAGGUCGGCGGCGACGUCGGCCCCAGAUACAUGAUCGUCUCGCUCGUUUUUCGGGCGAACAAAACUCGGCUUACAGCUCGUCACAGUCC